rnacentral:lncRNA from 1 species
GGGCAGUGUCCCCACGGGCACCUCGAUGGGCACUGUCACCCAGGACAGCGUGGGCAGUGUCCCCACGGGCACCUCGAUGGGCACUGUCACCCAGGACAGCGUGGGCAGUGUCCCCACGGGCACCUCGAUGGGCACUGUCACCCAGGACAGCGUGGGCAGUGUCCCCACGGGCACCUCGAUGGGCACUGUCACCCAGGACAGCGUGGGCAGUGUCCCCAAGGGCUCCACCAUGGGCACUGCCACCCAGGACAGCAGCUCCCCACUGCCCACUGCCACCCCUGGCACCUCUGCAACCUCCCCAGGUGAAACCUUCCAGGAGAGCUCCUCAGGUGAGCCAGGGCUGCUCCCCGCUGUGUUACCAGCUCUGCUUCUGCUGAUUUGCGUCACCAUCACCAUCCUCACCCUGGCCAAAAUCAAGCUCCAAAAGCAGACAGGAGAAGAAAGAAGCAGCAUGGGGAGCCUGGAUCCAGCUCGCGCUGGGCUGAGCCCUGGAAGGGAGGGAAGGAUGGAGGAGAGCCCAGGAGAGGAGCAGGAAUUCGGGAUGGGCUCUGGCAAAUGUAGGACAAUCUCUGCUAUCCUUGGAAAUAUCAGGAUGAUCAGCUUCUAUGUGCCUGAUGAAGACUUGAGCCAGAACCUUCUGUGAAAGCCCCUGGGUGCCAGAGCUGGGAAUUUUCUCUGUGGAAAGCCAAGCCCCCAACACCUCCCGCUGCUCUCCUCAGAACCCAAAUCCCCUUUGCUGAGAGCUGAACCCCCACAGUGCCCAAAUUGCUCCCUUUUUGCAGAAGAGAGGAUAAAAAACCACUCCUGAACCCAGCUAUUUGUGGGUUGUUUCCCUGAGGGAAAAGCAAAUCUGGGGAGGGGUGAGGAGAAACCUUUGUGGUUUCAGGGGUGCUCAUAUCAGAGAAUCACAGAAUGGUUUGGGUUGGAAAGGAUUGAGUUCUCAAAAAAAAAAAAAAAAAAAGCCCCCCCCCCCCCCCCCCCCCCCCCCCCCCCCCCCCCCCCCCCCCCCCCCCCCCCCCCCCCCCCCCCCCCCCCCCCCCC